GAUGAACGCUAGCUACAGGCUUAACACAUGCAAGUCGAGGGGUAAUGAGAGGAAAGCUUGCUUUCCUUGUCGACGACCGGCGCACGGGGGAGUAACGCGUAUCCAACCUGCCCCCAACUAGGGAAUAACCUUGCGAAAGUACGACUAAUACCCUAUAAUUUCCUCAGAUGACAUCUGACGAGGAAUAAAGAUUUAUCGGUUGUGGGUCGGGAUGCGUCUGAUUAGCUUGUUGGCGGGGUAACGGCCCACCAAGGCAACGAUCAGUAGGGGUUCUGAGCGUAAGGUCCCCCACAUUGGAACUGAGACACGGUCCAAACUCCUACGGGAGGCAGCAGUGAGGAAUAUUGGUCAAUGGGCGGAAGCCUGAACCAGCCAAGUAGCGUGCAGGAUGACGGCCCUAUGGGUUGUAAACUGCUUUUAUACAGGAAUAAAGUUAGCCACGUGUGGUUAUUUGUAGGUACUGUAUGAAUAAGGACCGGCUAAUUCCGUGCCAGCAGCCGCCGCCG
rnacentral:rRNA from 1 species